CGAGCAUUCUGUAAAUUGUCUUUUCAGUAUGACGUCGUGCAGCUUAGCAACGUCCAAACAAAAAAAAUAUAAAUUGUCAGAGACGGAAAUCACACUGCAGUAAACACUUUUCUGCCGACCGCAAACAACUUUGCAAAUUCUUCAAUUCAGAUCUUUUCUCAUGUUUCGUUCCUGGUGCAUGAGAAAGUCUCGGUGGAGAAGUUUGAGCUCCAAAUAGCAAGCAGCAAGCGCAGUACGGUAUUUUUUAAUUUUUUUUUUUUUGAUAUUAAUUUCUCUAAAGCCCUCUUUCCGUGGCGACAGAUAUUGACCCUCCGAUGCUAAAGAUCACUUCUUCCACCUGAUCGUUGCUAAUUGGGAAAAGAAUAGAUCCUCGGAUCAGAUCUGAACGUUUUUCAAAGGUUCUUAUUCAAGCGUAAAUUCAUCGACCACUACAGUGGCAUUCGCGGACUUAGAAGUGAAAUAAAAGAUAUCGUCCAAAGGUGGUGCAUUCUUGACCUUUUGAAGGACAAAUUUAUAUUGCAAACAAGCCUCCAUCAAUCACAUGACUGGGGAGUGCCAACAGCCCAACAUACAGCUACACUAGUCGUUGUCUAUUUCAAGAAUGACCAAUAAAACUGUUUCUUGCCCUUAUUUUCUAUACUGUAAUGGUAACAAUUUAUAUCAAUCAGUUGUCUGUACCUGUCGGUAUGUUUCAAAGCAUGAAUAAUUAGCAAUUUAAAUUUUUAAAUGGUUGCAACCACUCACCGAAUGGAUGUUUAUGAUUGUUAUUGUUCGACUGGACAAUUUUAUCGUUGCAACAAAUAUGGGAUAUUUAAAUAUUAAAAUAGUCUUUUUUUUUUACUGGGCCUAGGUGAAGUUUUCCGACAGCUUCACUUUUACGAAUUACUACUAACACUCUUUAUCCGGUGAUGCUACAAUAUUGGUAUCACGCUAAUGCCCGGUCAUUGGUGCACCUUUAAUGGUAAUCUUUACGGCUUAAUAUGUUAUGUUAAUAGGCAGCAAUACAGGCAUUAAAUUGACAAGUUAAGGUG